rnacentral:rRNA from 1 species
GGCCAGCAGCCGCGGUAAUACCAGCACCCCGAGUGGUCGGGACGAUUAUUGGGCCUAAAGCAUCCGUAGCCGGUUCUGCAAGUCUUCCGUUAAAUCCAUCUGCUUAACAGAUGGGCUGCAGAGGAUACUAUAGAGCUAGGAGGCGGGAGAGGCAAGCGGUACUUAGUGGGUAGGGGUAAAAUCCGUUGAUCCACUGAAGACCACCAGUGGCGAAGGCGGCUUGCCAGAACGCACUCGACGGUGAGGGAUGAAAGCUGGGGGAGCAAACCGGAUUAGAUACCCGGGUAGUCCCAGCUGUAAACGAUGCAGACUCGGUGAUGAAUAGGCUUCGUGCCUAUUCAGUGCCGCAGGGAAGCCGUUAAGUCUGCCGCCUGGGGAGUACGGUCGCAAGACUGAAACUUAAAGGAAUUGACGGGGGCCCGCACAAGC